rnacentral:rRNA from 1 species
AGAGUUUGAUCCUGGCUCAGAUUGAACGCUGGCGGAAUGCUUUACACAUGCAAGUCGAACGGCAGCACGGGUGCUUGCACCUGGUGGCGAGUGGCGAACGGGUGAGUAAUAUAUCGGAACGUAUCCAAUAAUGGGGGAUAACUAGCCGAAAGGUUAGCUAAUACCGCAUACGCCCUGAGGGGGAAAGCUGGGGAUCGUAAGACCUAGCGUUGAUGGAGCGGCCGAUAUCUGAUUAGCUAGUUGGUGGGGUAAGAGCCUACCAAGGCGACGAUCAGUAUCUGGUUUGAGAGGACGAUCAGACACACUGGAACUGAGACACGGUCCAGACUCCUACGGGAGGCAGCAGUGGGGAAUUUUCCGCAAUGGGCGAAAGCCUGACGGAGCAAUACCGCGUGAGGGAAGACUGCCUAUGGGUUGUAAACCCCUUUUUUCAGGGAGGAAUAAAAUGACGUGUACCUGAAGAAUAAGCAUCGGCUAACUCCGUGCCAGCAGCCGCGGUAAG